CCCUUAGAUGUUCUGGGCCGCACGCGCGCUACACUGACGAAUGCAACGAGCUUAUAACCUUGGCCGAAAGGUCUGGGUAAUCUCCAAAUUUCGUCGUGAUGGGGAUAGAUUAUUGCAAUUAUUAAUCUUCAACGAGGAAUGCCUAGUAAGCGCAAGUCAUCAGCUUGCGUUGAUUACGUCCCUGCCCUUUGUACACACCGCCCGUCGCUCCUACCGAUUGAAUGGUCCGGUGAAGCGUUCGGACCGCUUCCUUUGGACGGGCAACCGUCUGUUGGGCGUGGGAAGUUCGUUAAACCUUAUCAUUUAGAGGAAGGAGAAGUCGUAACA
rnacentral:rRNA from 1 species